AUUGAACGCUGGCGGCAUGCCUUACACAUGUAAGUCGAACGGUAACAGCACUUCGGUGGCUGACGAGUGGCGGACGGGUGAGUAAUACAUCGGAACGUGCCCGAUCGUGGGGGAUAACUACUCGAAAGAGUGGCUAAUACCGCAUACGAUCUACGGAUGAAAGCGGGGGAUCGCAAGACCUCGCGCGGACGGAGCGGCCGAUGGCAGAUUAGGUAGUUGGUGGGGUAAAGGCUCACCAAGCCAACGAUCUGUAGCUGGUCUGAGAGGACGACCAGCCACACUGGAACUGAGACACGGUCCAGACUCCUACGGGAGGCAGCAGUGGGGAAUUUUGGACAAUGGGCGCAAGCCUGAUCCAGCCAUUCCGCGUGCAGGAUGAAGGCCUUCGGUUGUAAACUGCUUUGUACGGAACGAACGGUACUGCCCUAAUACGGCAGGCUAAUGACGGUACCGUAAGAAUAAGACACCGGCGUAACUACGUGCCAGCAGCCGCGGUAAUACG
rnacentral:rRNA from 1 species